AACGAACGCUGGCGGCAGGCUUAACACAUGCAAGUCGAACGGACAGGCCCUGGUGUUGGCGGGGGCCCGGUUAGCGACCCGGUGAGUCACACGUUAUUAACCUAACUAUGACUUUGAGAUUUCAUCUGGUACCUGAGACUAAUACUGGAUAGGAGGCUCUGCUGCGUGGUGUCGGUUGGCAAGUUUCGGCGGUUGGGGUUGGACUCCCGGCUUAUCAGCUUGUUGGUGGGGUAGUGGCUGACCAAGUCUUUGACGGGUCGCCGGCCUGAGAGGGUGACCGGCCACAUUGGGACGGGGACACGGCACAGACUCGUACGGGAGGCAGAAGUGGAGAAGAGUGUACAAGGGGCGGAAGCCUGAUGCAGCAACGCCACGCGCGGUAUGACGGGCUUCGGGUAGGAAAGCGCAUUCGCCUGUGACGAAGCGUGAGUGACGGUAAUGGGUAAAGAAGCACCGGCUAACUACGUG
rnacentral:rRNA from 1 species